AUAUUGGACAAUGGGCGCAAGCCUGAUCCAGCCAUGCUGCUUGAGUUAUGAAGGCCUUAUGGUUGUAAAGCUCUUUCACCGGUGAAGAUAAUGACGGUAGCCGGAUAAGAAGCCUCGGCUAACUUCGUGCCAGCAUCCGCGGUAAUACGAAGGGGGCUAGCGUUGUUCGGAAUUACUGGGCGUAAAGCGCACGUAGGCGGAUCGGUCAGUGAGGGGUGAAAUCCCAGGGCUCAACCCUGGAACUGCCUUUAAUACUGCCGGUCUUGAGUUCGAGAGAGGUGAGUGGAAUUCCGAGUGUAGAGGUGAAAUUCGUAGAUAUUCGGAGGAACACCAGUGGCGAAGGCGGCUCACUGGCUCGAUACUGACGCUGAGGUGCGAAAGCGUGGGGAGCAAACAG
rnacentral:rRNA from 1 species